UCUAAAACAUAGAGAUAGAUAAGAGAGUUGUUUGAGAGGGAGAUUGUUAGGAGUCAUGGAAUGUACAAGAGUGAGGGGGAUCUUGGAGUUCAUUGAAGGAUAUACUUGUAAUCGUUGUGAUGAAAGAAUUUUGCAGUUGGAUUUGCACUUCUAUCCACCCUCAGUGCAAACCUAUACAUACAAAGGAUUGCUACGGAACGAGACCAUGCAAUUUUCCAUAUGUGAAUCUAUUGAAAAUAUACGGCUGUGAACUAGUAAGUAAGGAGAAGUCUUUAUUCAGAAAAAAAGAAAAAAGUAAGGAGAAGUCUCUUUCUCAUUUGUUUUAUUUUUAUUAUUUUUUUUUCGAUUUUCUUAAUUAACAUAUUUUCCCGGUAUUCUUUUUUUGGUUUAUUGAAGUCGAAGUCAAAGGGGGCUAUGCUUUAUCCUAGUUGUUAGAAUGGGAUUGGGGAUAAAGGGGGUACAUUAUAGGCUGAAUUUUGCGUUGAAUUUUGGCUAAAAUAUUGGGUGGAAAAGCACGAUAAGGAAGAAAAGUCUACAUUGGUAAGUUUUCCCAGCAAAAUGUCUUAUUAAGAUCUAGCACUGUAGAUAAAGUUGGGUAGCUAGCAAAAUAAGUUAAUUUUAUUUUUCUUUUGGCAGCAAUUCGCUUUCGGCGCAUGUUUGGAGCGGGCAAUUGCAAUUAAAAUGGAAUGGAAUCACCAUACAAAAUCAGUCGGAGAAUAGUGAGACGCAAUAUCGGUCUUGCUUGGGAUCCAACUAGCUGCAAAUCCAAAGGAAACCGAAAAAAUCAAGAGCCUCCCAACAAUGGUGCCUCUUUUAGUUGCGGCUGAAAUUGGAUUAAAUCAUUUUAAUUAUAAAUUACUUUUCUAAUAUAACACCUAUUUUAAAAUGAUAUUUUCCUUAAGUUUGCUUUUAGAACAUAAUAAAUAUAAUUUAAUAAAAAAUUAUAUAUUUUUUAUUUAGAUUUUGUUUGAUUGCUUUUCUUGACCGGAAACUAUUUCAAAUUAAUUCUCUUUUAAGUACACCCUCAAAAUUACUACAAUGUAUAAUAAAAAAUUAAUAUCAUAAUUCAAUCUCUAAAUUUAUCAAUUUUAUUUUCCAAAUUAUUAAACAAAAGAAAUCAUAAAACUCCGACCACGGGGUUUAAAAUUAUUUAUAACUUCUUAAUUUCACUAAUAAAUACUUUUUAAAUAAUCUAAAAAAAAUUCCAUUAACAAAUAACUAUAUUAAAGCCGAUAAAGCUACUUCAGCAGGCUUACCCUGCCCAUCGGAGUUUCUGCCGGCGAGGAAGUCCUUAACACGUCCAAAUCUACGGGUCCUCACCGUCGAGAUCGGCCUCGUACUCACUCCCUACCAUAUCAUCGUCCCCGAUCUCACCCUCCUCUCCAUUUUCCGACCUCGUGGCACCCUCAACCACCGAGUUAUCCCGUCCGAUCACGCCGUCCUCGUCGAU